CACGUAGGGGGCAAGCGUUGUCCGGAUUUAUUGGGCGUAAAGCGCGCGUAGGCGGCGCGGUAUGUCGUGCGUGAAAUCUCCCGGCUUAACUGGGAGGGGCCGUGCGAAACUGCCGGGCUUGAGGUCGGAAGGGGAAAGUGGAAUUCCGGGGUGUAGUGGUGGAAUACGUAGAUAUCCGGAGGAACACCAGCGGCGAAGGCGGCUUUCUGGUCCGAUACUGACGCUGAGGUGCGAAAGCGUGGGGAGCGAUCCGG
rnacentral:rRNA from 1 species